UGUACCUGCAAUUGUGUGUGAGGUUCAGUCUUUGGCUACUUUUACAGAGAGUGACCUUCAAGAUUCUUCAGAGCUUUCACCAGAAGAUGUUAUUAGAUUUGGCGAUAAGCACAAGCUCCAGGCUUUGGAAGAAACUGUGAUUGGAAGGUGUCACAGUCAAUGCCACAAAGAACAGACAUUAUUUGUCAACUGUAUAUGCAAGUCUGGACAUGAGCCCAGCAGAUCAGCAGGUCUUUUUAGAUCAUAUAGGUCAUGAAAAAAACAUCAACAGAGAUAAUUACCAAUGUCCAAUUGGACUCAGGGAGGUUAAAGUAAUGGGCCGCAUGUUGGGAGAUCUUGAAAAUGUACCAGAACCAGCAACGGAUUUAACCACUAUACAAACAGUUGAGGCAAGUGAAACUGAAACUAAAGAGAUUGGUAAAAAUGAAGAACUUCAGUCAG